rnacentral:rRNA from 1 species
GAUGAACGCUGGCGGCGUGCCUAAUACAUGCAAGUCGAGCGAACGGACGAGAAGCUUGCUUCUCUGAUGUUAGCGGCGGACGGGUGAGUAACACGUGGAUAACCUACCUAUAAGACUGGGAUAACUUCGGGAAACCGGAGCUAAUACCGGAUGAUAUUUUGAACCGCAUGGUUCAAAAGUGAAAGACGGUCUUGCUGUCACUUAUAGAUGGAUCCGCGCUGCAUUAGCUAGUUGGUAAGGUAACGGCUUACCAAGGCAACGAUGCAUAGCCGACCUGAGAGGGUGAUCGGCCACACUGGAACUGAGACACGGUCCAGACUCCUACGGGAGGCAGCAGUAGGGAAUCUUCCGCAAUGGGCGAAAGCCUGACGGAGCAACGCCGCGUGAGUGAUGAAGGUCUUCGGAUCGUAAAACUCUGUUAUUAGGGAAGAACAUAUGUGUAAGUAACUGUGCACAUCUUGACGGUACCUAAUCAGAAAGCCACGGCUAACCACGUG